GAUGAAGAACGUAGCGAAAUGCGAUAAGUAAUGUGAAUUGCAGAAUUCAGUGAAUCAUCGAGUUUUUGAACGCAUAUUGCGCCCUCUGGUAUUCCGGGGGGCAUGCCUGUUCGAGCGUCAUUAAAUAACCCUCAAGCAUAGCUUGGUGUUGGGCUUUUUUACGUCCUUGACUGGGAUGGGCCUAAAAAUUAGUGGCGAUGGCUUUUUUACUUUCAAGCGUAGUAAAUCUCGUCUUGCUAAAGAGGAAAAAGAUUUUUUUUCUGCCAAAAAUUUUAACAUUUAAAGUUGACCUCGGAUCAGGUAGGAAUACCCGCUGAACUUAAGCAUAUCAAUAAGCGGAGGA
rnacentral:misc_RNA from 1 species